UACGAGUGGUGCAAGCGUUAUUCGGAUUUAUUGGGCGUAAAGGGUGCGCAGACGGUUUGUUAAGUCACUUGUUAAAUUCUCUGGCCUAACUAGAGGCAUGCGGGUGAAAACUGGCGAACUUGAGGGUGGAAGAGAGAAGUGGAAUUCUCGGAGUAGCGGUAAAAUGCGUAGAUCUCGAGAGGAACACCAAUGGCGAAGGCAGCUUCUUGGUCCAUACCUGACGUUCAUGCCACGAAAAGCGUGGGGGAAGCAAACAGGAUUAAGAAAACCCCAGGUACGUCCAGAACCAAC
rnacentral:rRNA from 1 species